rnacentral:rRNA from 1 species
AGAGGGUGAUCUUGGCUCAGGACGAACGCUGGCGGCGCGCCUAACACAUGCAAGUCGAACGAGCGAGAGAGAGCUUGCUUUCUCGAGCGAGUGGCGAACGGGUGAGUAACGCGUGAGGAACCUGCCUCAAAGAGGGGGACAACAGUUGGAAACGACUGCUAAUACCGCAUAAGCCCACGGCUCGGCAUCGAGCAGAGGGAAAAGGAGCAAUCCGCUUUGAGAUGGCCUCGCGUCCGAUUAGCUAGUUGGUGAGGUAACGGCCCACCAAGGCGACGAUCGGUAGCCGGACUGAGAGGUUGAACGGCCACAUUGGGACUGAGACACGGCCCAGACUCCUACGGGAGGCAGCAGUGGGGAAUAUUGCACAAUGGGGGAAACCCUGAUGCAGCGACGCCGCGUGGAGGAAGAAGGUCUUCGGAUUGUAAACUCCUGUUGUCGAGGAAGAUAAUGACGGUACUCAACAAGGAAGUGACGGCUAACUACGUGCCAGCAGCCGCGGUAAAACGUAGGUCACAAGCGUUGUCCGGAAUUACUGGGUGUAAAGGGAGCGCAGGCGGGAGAACAAGUUGGAAGUGAAAUCCAUGGGCUCAACCCAUGAACUGCUUUCAAAACUGUUUUUCUUGAGUAGUGCAGAGGUAGGCGGAAUUCCCGGUGUAGCGGUGGAAUGCGUAGAUAUCGGGAGGAACACCAGUGGCGAAGGCGGCCUACUGGGCACCAACUGACGCUGAGGCUCGAAAGUGUGGGUAGCAAACAGGAUUAGAUACCCUGGUAGUCCACACCGUAAA